GUGGUUGUGCCAGCUGCA
rnacentral:misc_RNA from 1 species